UGCGGGGGGGGCAAGCGUUGUUCGGAAUUACUGGGCGUAACGGGCUCGUAGGCGGCCAACUAAGUCAGACGUGAAAUCCCCAGGCUCAACCUGGGAACUGCGUCUGAUACUGGAUGGCUUGAAUCCGGGAGAGGGAUGCAGAAUUCCAGGUGUAGCGGUGAAAUGCGUAGAUAUCUGGAGGAAUACCGGUGGCGAAGGCGGCAUCCUGGACCGGCAUUGACGCUGAGGAGCGAAAGCCAGGGGAGCAAACGGG
rnacentral:rRNA from 1 species